UACGAAGGGGGCUAGCGUUGUUCGGAAUUACUGGGCGUAAAGCGCGCGCAGGCGGUUCUUCAAGUCAGUGGUGAAAGCCCGGAGCUCAACUCCGGAACUGCCAUUGAAACUGUAGAACUUGAGGAUGAGAGAGGUGAGUGGAAUUCCCAGUGUAGAGGUGAAAUUCGUAGAUAUUGGGAAGAACACCGGUGGCGAAAGCGGCUCACUGGAUCUCUUCUGACGCUGAGGCACGAAAGCUAGGGUAGCGAACGGG
rnacentral:rRNA from 1 species